GUGAGUAAUGUCUGGGAAACUGCCUGAUGGAGGGGGAUAACUACUGGAAACGGUGGCUAAUACCGCAUAACGUCGCAAGACCAAAGAGGGGGACCUUCGGGCCUCUUGCCAUCAGAUGUGCCCAGAUGGGAUUAGCUGGUUGGUGAGGUAACGGCUCACCAAGGCGACGAUCCCUAGCUGGUCUGAGAGGAUGACCAGCCACACUGGAACUGAGACACGGUCCAGACUCCUACGGGAGGCAGCAGUGGGGAAUAUUGCACAAUGGGCGCAAGCCUGAUGCAGCCAUGCCGCGUGUAUGAAGAAGGCCUUCGGGUUGUAAAGUACUUUCAGCGGGGAGGAAGGUGUUGCGGUUAAUAACCGCAGCAAUUGACGUUACCCGCAGAAGAAGCACCGGCUAACUCCGUGCCAGCAGCCGCGGUAAUACGGAGGGUGCAAGCGUUAAUCGGAAUUACUGGGCGUAAAGCGCACGCAGGCGGUCUGUCAAGUCGGAUGUGAAAUCCCCGGGCUCAACCUGGGAACUGCAUUCGAAACUGGCAGGCUUGAGUCUUGUAGAGGGGGGUAGAAUUCCAGGUGUAGCGGUGAAAUGCGUAGAGAUCUGGAGGAAUACCGGUGGCGAAGGCGGCCCCCUGGACAAAGACUGACGCUCAGGUGCGAAAGCGUGGGGAGCAAACAGGAUUAGAUACCCUGGUAGUCCACGCCGUAAACGAUGUCUACUUGGAGGUUGUGCCCUUGAGGCGUGGCUUCCGGAGCUAACGCGUUAAGUAGACCGCCUGGGGAGUACGGCCGCAAGGUUAAAACUCAAAUGAAUUGACGGGGGCCCGCACAAGCGGUGGAGCAUGUGGUUUAAUUCGAUGCAACGCGAAGAACCUUACCUGGUCUUGACAUCCACGGAAGAAUUCAGAGAUGGAUUUGUGCCUUCGGGAACCGUGAGACAGGUGCUGCAUGGCUGUCGUCAGCUCGUGUUGUGAAAUGUUGGGUUAAGUCCCGCAACGAGCGCAACCCUUAUCCUUUGUUGCCAGCGGUCCGGCCGGGAACUCAAAGGAGACUGCCAGUGAUAAACUGGAGGAAGGUGGGGAUGACGUCAAGUCAUCAUGGCCCUUACGACCAGGGCUACACACGUGCUACAAUGGCGCAUACAAAGAGAAGCGACCUCGCGAGAGCAAGCGGACCUCAUAAAGUGCGUCGUAGUCCGGAUUGGAGUCUGCAACUCGACUCCAUGAAGUCGGAAUCGCUAGUAAUCGUGGAUCAGAAUGCCACGGUGAAUACGUUCCCGGGCCUUGUACACACCGCCCGUCACACCAUGGGAGUGGGUUGCAAAAGAAGUAGGUAGCUUAACCUUCGGGAGGGCGCUUACCACUUUGUGAUUCAUGACUGGGGUGAAGUCGUAACAAGGUAACCGUAGGGGAACCUGC
rnacentral:rRNA from 1 species